UUGGCGACCGGCGCACGGGUGCGUAACGCGUAUGUAACCUACCUAUAACAGGGGCAUAACACUGAGAAAUUGGUACUAAUUCCCCAUAAUAUUCGGAGAGGCAUCUCUCCGGGUUGAAAACUCCGGUGGUUAUAGAUGGACAUGCGUUAUAUUAGCUAGUUGGUGAGGUAACGGCUCACCAAGGCAACGAUACAUAGGGGGACUGAGAGGUUAACCCCCCACACUGGUACUGAGACACGGACCAGACUCCUACGGGAGGCAGCAUG
rnacentral:rRNA from 1 species